rnacentral:sRNA from 1 species
AUGAAGAAGACACAGCCAGACCUGAGAAGGCCCAGCCGUCCCUGCCAGCUGGCAAGAUGAGCAAGCCCUUCCUUCAGCUGGCUCAGGAUCCCACAGUGCCCACCUACAAGCAGGGCAUUCUGGCUCGGAAAAUGCAUCAAGAUGCAGACGGCAAGAAGACGCCAUGGGGCAAGCGUGGCUGGAAGAUGUUCCACACCUUACUGCGAGGGAUGGUUCUCUACUUCCUGAAGGGAGAAGACCACUGCUUGGAGGAGGAGAGCUUGGUGGGGCAGAUGGUGGAUGAGCCCGUGGGGGUGCACCACUCGCUGGCCACCCCCGCCACCCAUUACACCAAGAAGCCGCACGUCUUCCAGCUGCGCACGGCUGACUGGCGCCUCUACCUCUUCCAGGCACCGUAAGUCCCUGGGGUGGGAGACUGUGGCAAGGCCUUGCCCUGCCCUAGUUCUCUCUCCCCUGACCCUGCUGACACCUGAGGCUUGUGGGCCCCAGGGGGUCCUGGUGGGAAUGGCCGUAUGAUCAGAAAUUCUUAGAAAGCGGCAGCAGGAAGAGGAGCUGGGGACCAGGGAUGAAGCCCAGGCAUUGCCUACUUCCUCCCCAUCCUUGGCCAACUUUGCCAGCACAGUAUGCCUUUUCCUUGUCAGUGGGAUAAAGCCUCCCAGUUCAGAACACA